UGAGUAAAAACAUAACCCAUGCCAGCAAAAACAUAUCUAUCAGUGUUCUCCACUGGCCAUUGGAGACAGACUUUUUUUUUUCUCCCUCAGAGGCCAACAUCGACUCUGUCUUUAACCGCUGGGUGUUUGAGAUUGGCCCCCUCAACCCCUCUAUCUUCUCAACCCCGAAGUAUUUUAGCAUCUUUUCUCUGAGCCUAGAUUCAUUUGUUUUUUUUAAACAUCCUUUUUGUGAAUUCAAAUGAGUUUCUUUUUUCUUUUUUUUUGAUAAAGACUCCGCUUUCUCUUUGUGCAGUUAAAAUUGCUUUUUUUUGUGCACCUGCAAUCACCGCCCUUGUGGAUGACCCCAGGUGCCUAAUUCAGAAAUGCGUGCAGGGUUGUCACCGGCUGCACCGAGCCUUGGAUCACAUCGAUUGUCCUGGCGGAUGACCCUGACUCCAGCUUCAAGCCUCUCCAUCCCUCUGCCUCGUCCUUCCUCCAGAACACACUGAACCCUCCACAGGGUUCGUGAGUCUUUUUCUGUCCCCUCUGUGCGGAUGAGAUGGCAGCAGACGGAAACACACGGGAUUUGACAACUGGACUCCAACGUAUUUGACAGCCUACUUCAGAAUAUUGAACCAUGAAUGAUGGAAAACACCAUUGACCCAAAGGUCAGAGGUAAUGUUGAUAUCGACUUCCACUUCAAUGAGUAACUCUCAUCAGAUUCUGCUACAGUAUAUUUCAUUUCAACUUGAGUACUUGCCAUUUGGCUUUUCAUCAAUGAAUCUCUGUACUCGGAAUGCAAAUCAAGCAUUUGCUCAUAUAAGUCCGAAUAAAGAAUACGUCAGCUCAAAAAUGAUGACUUUUGAACCCCUUUAAUGACGACAUACAAGCAUCACAUGUCAGAUGGCUCAAAGACCGAGAGGAGUACGACAGAUAAACACCAGGGAAGUGUUUUGGGCAGAACCAGCAAUACGCUUUACUGGGGGGCCGGCAGGGUCUUGGUGCUGUCCAUCACCUGCUGGAAGAACUUCUCCAUAAUGUCGGUCAGAGGCUUGACCUGGCCGUAGAAGUUGUCGGUCAGAGGCUUGACCUGAGUGUUGAAGUUUUCCAUUAUGGGCCUGAUCUGCUCCUCAAUGUUGCUGACUAAGGGCUUGACCUGAUCCUGCAGCUUGGUGGCCUCGGCCAUUACCUUGUCAACCAGAGGCUGGAUCUGGGACCUGCCGUUCUCUGCGUAAGUUCUGUGGGAGGAAGAGGAAGCAAUAUUUUUUCCAUCAAUCACUGCUGCUGACUCUGCUUUGUAUUUAUUUGUUGUUUAUUUGAAUCUGAGUAAAGAAAAAUGAACUGAAACUGCCUGAAAAUGUGUUGGUGUGACUCUUCAGGAAAAUCUUUUGAGAAUCAUGAUGUGUAACUGUUCUGGUUUUAGGUCACGAUAAUGUGAGUUAAUCUAAAUAAACAAGCCAUUUACUAUCCAAAGAGGUAAUGAGCCUUUAGCCUUUUACAUGUAUCAUGAAUAUAACUUUUUCAUUUUGGAAAUUGACAGAAAAGUGACAUAUUUGUUGUUUUCAGAGCCAGUUUUUCUCAGGUGUUGAAUUUCUCCAUUACAUGAGAUUUUCUACAUGUUAAAAUUAAAAGAAAUAAACUUCGACAGUCAGUAUUGGUGUGUACAUUAAAUU